rnacentral:rRNA from 1 species
AACGAACGCUGGCGGCAGGCCUCAUACAUGCAAGUCGAGCGAUUAAGACUCCUUCGGGAGUGUAUAAAGCGGCGAACGGGUGAGUAACAGGUGGAUGAUCUACCUUCCGGUGGGGGAUAACGGCUGGAAACGGCCGCUAAUACCGCAUUCGGUUAAUACGCUGUGGCGUAUUAAAGAAAGGCGCCUCAAAGCGCCGCCGGGAGAUGAGUCCGCCCCCCAUUAGCUAGUUGGUGAGAUAACAGCUCACCAAGGCAACGAUGGGUAGCCGAACUGAGAGGUUGAUCGGCCACACUGGAACUGAGACACGGUCCAGACACCUACGGGUGGCAGCAGUAGGGAAUAUUGGGCAAUGGGCGAAAGCCUGACCCAGCCAUGCCGCGUGAGUGAUGAAGGUCCUAGAGAUUGUAAAACUCUUUUCUGAGGAAGAAUGAAUAGGGAAGGAAAUGUCCUUAUUUUGACGGUACCUCAGGAAUAAGGAACGGCUAACUCCGUGCCAGCAGCCGCGGUAA